rnacentral:rRNA from 1 species
GAUGAACGCUGGCGGCGUGCCUAAUACAUGCAAGUCGAGCGAACAGACGAGGAGCUUGCUCCUCUGACGUUAGCGGCGGACGGGUGAGUAACACGUGGAUAACCUACCUAUAAGACUGGGAUAACUUCGGGAAACCGGAGCUAAUACCGGAUAAUAUAUUGAACCGCAUGGUUCAAUAGUGAAAGACGGUUUUGCUGUCACUUAUAGAUGGAUCCGCGCCGCAUUAGCUAGUUGGUAAGGUAACGGCUUACCAAGUCGACGAUGCGUAGCCGACCUGAGAGGGUGAUCGGCCACACUGGAACUGAGACACGGUCCAGACUCCUACGGGAGGCAGCAGUAGGGAAUCUUCCGCAAAGGGCGAAAGCUUGACGGAGCAACGCCGCGUGAGUGAUGAAGGUCUUCGGAUCGUAAAACUCUGUUAUUAGGGAAGAACAAAUGUGUAAGUAACUAUGCACGUCUUGACGGUACCUAAUCAGAAAGCCACGGCUAACUACGUG